rnacentral:rRNA from 1 species
GGUGUGACUGCGUACCUUUUGUAUAAUGGGUCAGCGACUUAUAUUCUGUAGCAAGGUUAACCGUAUAGGGGAGCCGCAGGGAAACCGAGUCUUAACUGGGCGUUAAGUUGCAGGGUAUAGACCCGAAACCCGGUGAUCUAGCCAUGGGCAGGUUGAAGGUUGGGUAACACUAACUGGAGGACCGAACCGACUAAUGUUGAAAAAUUAGCGGAUGACCUGUGGCUGGGGGUGAAAGGCCAAUCAAACCGGGAGAUAGCUGGUUCUCCCCGAAAGCUAUUUAGGUAGCGCCUCGUGAACUCAUCUUCGGGGGUAGAGCACUGUUUCGGCUAGGGGGCCAUCCCGGCUUACCAACCCGAUGCAAACUACGAAUACCGAAGAAUGUUAUCACGGGAGACACACGGCGGGUGCUAACGUCCGUCGUGAAGAGGGAAACAACCCAGACCGCCAGCUAAGGUCCCAAAGUCAUGGUUAAGUGGGAAACGAUGUGGGAAGGCACAGACAGCCAGGAUGUUGGCUUAGAAGCAGCCAUCAUUUAAAGAAAGCGUAAUAGCUCACUGGUCGAGUCGGCCUGCGCGGAAGAUGUAACGGGGCUAAACCAUGCACCGAAGCUGCGGCAGCGAC